rnacentral:rRNA from 1 species
CAGACUCCUACGGAGCAGCAGUGGGGAAUAUUGCACAAUGGGGGAAAACCUGAUGCAGCGACGCAGCGUGCGGGAUGACGGCCUUCGGGUUGUAAACCGCUUUCAGCAGGGAAGAAGCCUUCGGGGUGACGGUACCUGCAGAAGAAGUACCGGCUAACUACGUGCCAGCAGCCGCGGUAAUACGUAGGGUACAAGCGUUGUCCGGAAUUAUUGGGCGUAAAGAGCUCGUAGGUGGUUGGUCACGUCUGCUGUGGAAACGCAACGCUUAACGUUGCGCGUGCAGUGGGUACGGGCUGACUAGAGUGCAGUAGGGGAGUCUGGAAUUCCUGGUGUAGCGGUGAAAUGCGCAGAUAUCAGGAGGAACACCGGUGGCGAAGGCGGGACUCUGGGCUGUAACUGACACUGAGGAGCGAAAGCAUGGGGAGCGAACAGGAUUAGAUACCCUGGUAGUCCAUGCCGUAAACGUUGGGCACUAGGUGUGGGGGACAUUCCACGUUCUCCGCGCCGUAGCUAACGCAUUAAGUGCCCCGCCUGGGGAGUACGGUCGCAAGGCUAAAACUCAAAGGAAUUGACGGGGGCCCGCACAAGCGGCGGAGCAUGCGGAUUAAUUCGAUGCAACGCGAAGAACCUUACCAAGGCUUGACAUACACCAGACCGUUCUGGAAACAGUUCCUCCCCUUUGGGGUUGGUGUACAGGUGGUGCAUGGUUGUCGUCAGCUCGUGUCGUGAGAUGUUGGGUUAAGUCCCGCAACGAGCGCAACCCCCGUUCUAUGUUGCCAGCACGUGAUGGUGGGAACUCAUAGGAGACUGCCGGGGUCAACUCGGAGGAAGGUGGGGAUGACGUCAAAUCAUCAUGCCCUUUAUGUCUUGGGCUUCACGCAUGCUACAAUGGCUGGUACAGAGAGAUGCGAGACCGCGAGGUUUUAGCGAAUCCCUUAAAGCCAGUCUCAGUUCGGAUCGUAGUCUGCAAUUCGACUACGUGAAGUCGGAGUCGCUAGUAAUCGCAGAUCAGCAACGUGC